GGCGGACGGGUGAGUAAUGCCUAGGAAUCUGCCUGGUAGUGGGGGAUAACUCGGGGAAACUCGAGCUAAUACCGCAUACGUCCUACGGGAGAAAGCGGGGGAUCUUCGGACCUCGCGCUACCAGAUGAGCCUAGGUCGGAUUAGCUAGUUGGUGAGGUAAAGGCUCACCAAGGCGACGAUCCGUAGCUGGUCUGAGAGGAUGAUCAGCCACACUGGAACUGAGACACGGUCCAGACUCCUACGGGAGGCAGCAGUGGGGAAUAUUGGACAAUGGGCGAAAGCCUGAUCCAGCCAUGCCGCGUGUGUGAAGAAGGUCUUCGGAUUGUAAAGCACUUUAAGUUGGGAGGAAGGGCAGUAAGCUAAUACCUUGCUGUUUUGACGUUACCGACAGAAUAAGCACCGGCUAACUUCGUGCCAGCAGCCGCGGUAAUACGAAGGGUGCAAGCGUUAAUCGGAAUUACUGGGCGUAAAG
rnacentral:rRNA from 2 species